AUUGAACGCUGGCGGCAGGCCUAACACAUGCAAGUCGAGCGAGCGGCGGGCGAGUGAGUAAUGCCUGGGAAUUGCCCAGUAGAGGGGGAUAACAGUUGAAAACGAACGCUAAUAACGCAUACGAUUGGAUUGCCCAUGUGGGAUUAGCUAGUUGGUGGGGUAAUGGCUCACCAAGGCGACGAUCCCUAGCUGGUCUGAGAGGAUGACCAGCCACACUGGAACUGAGACACGGCCCGGACUCCUACGGGAGGCAGCAGUGGGGAAUAUUGGACAAUGGGGGAAACCCUGAUGCAGCCAUGCCGCGUGUGUGAAGAAGGCCUUCGGGUUGUAAAGCACUUUCAGCGAGGAGGCGUUACUCGCAGAAGAAGCACCGGCUAACUCCGUGCCAGCAGCCGCGGUAAUAC
rnacentral:rRNA from 1 species